rnacentral:tRNA from 1 species
GCCCCAGUGGCGGAAUUGGUAGACGCGGUAGACUCAAAAUCUAUUGCCCGCAAGGGCGUGCCUGUUCGAGUCAGGCCUGGGGCACCA